rnacentral:rRNA from 1 species
UACGAAGGGGGCUAGCGUUGCUCGGAAUCACUGGGCGUAAAGCGCACGUAGGCGGACUCUUAAGUCAGGGGUGAAAUCCCAGAGCUCAACUCUGGAACUGCCUUUGAUACUGGGUAUCUUGAGUAUGGAAGAGGUAAGUGGAAUUCCGAGUGUAGAGGUGAAAUUCGUAGAUAUUCGGAGGAACACCAGUGGCGAAGGCGGCUUACUGGUCCAUUACUGACGCUGAGGUGCGAAAGCGUGGGGAGCAAACAGGG